rnacentral:rRNA from 1 species
CCUACGGGAGGCUGCAGUGGGGAAUAUUGCACAAUGGGGGAAACCCUGAUGCAGCGACGCCGCGUGAGUGAAGAAGCGUUUCGGCGCGUAAAGCUCUGUCAGCGGGGAAGAAACACGGUUCGCGAGAGCCGCGGACGGUACCCGACCAAGAAGCCCCGGCUAACUACGUGCCAGCAGCCGUGGGAAUACGUAGGGGGCAAGCGUUAUCCGGAUUCACGGGGUGUAAAGGGAGCGUAGACGGCGGUACAAGUCUGGAGUGAAAGGCAGGGGCCCAACCCCGAGACUGCUCUGGAAACUGCCUGGCUGGAGUACAGGAGAGGUAAGUGGAAUUCCUAGUGUAGCGGUGAAAUGCGUAGAUAUUAGGAGGAACACCAGUGGCGAAGGCGGCUUACUGGACUGUAACUGACGUUGAGGCGCGAAAGCGUGGGGAGCAAACAGGAUUAGAUACCCCAGUAGUC